rnacentral:pre_miRNA from 1 species
CAAGGAGCUUGUUUAACAGCUAAGUGAUUUAAAGCAAUCAAAUUCCUUUAGCUUUAAAUCAUGCAGCUUUUAAACAAGCUCUGGC